GUCAUCUGCAGGCCCUGGAGACGCGACUGCAGUUACCGAGUUUCUAAGGCCUCGUCCCCUGACGGGAAGGCGGCGUUGGGGGGCGGCUGGGUUUACCCUUCGAGAGUCCGUGUGAGAACCGGGACACCUGUCCUGUUGAAAAGGGGGACGCAAAAGCUGAAAAUGCCCGGAAGGAUAUGGCUUCCUUGAACUGCGGGACGUGUAGCUGCAGCUGUGGGGUGGACCAUGGAAACAGCAGGAAGAAGAGAUGGAAGCAACGCCAUGGACCUUCACGUCCUUCAGAGUGUGGGUGGGCUUGGGCUUUGCAGUGAGAGCAAGUAUCACCCAGGAUGGAGAUGGGAGGUAAUGGGUGGCCCCGACAGGUGCCUCCUACUGCUGGCAGCAAGGAGAGAGUGAAGAGGCAGAAUUUCCUUGGUCUAGACUAGAGUCUGGGUCAUGGGCAUGGCAGUGCUUGAGCUUUUGACCAGAAGCAAGUGGACAUGGAUUUGAGCUUCGGGUAAGAAGGGAGACUUCUCUCCAGGGACCAUAGGGGCUGGCAGCUGAAGAAGGUGACUUGGCCCCUCUCUAGAGGGUGAACGCAGGAUCAAUUCAAGGCCAUGAAGUGGAUGCAGCUGGGAGAGCCUGCUUGGUGCUUUUAAACCUCAACAUGUCAACCGCAAAUACCUCAAACACUGCUCACACCGUGGUAAAAUCUAGUUGCGAAACCUGUCCCGCGGCAGCCUUCUCCAUCCCAGGUGCCCAGGCCCCAUCUCCUGGGAGCAGGCAGCUCUCCCCACCCCGAUUCAUGUCCCUCCUACAGCCCAAGGCAACUCCCUGCCACCUUGGUGAAUGAAGCACAUCAUGCUGCCCAG
rnacentral:lncRNA from 1 species